UACGUAGGUGGCAAGCGUUGUCCGGAUUUACUGGGUGUAAAGGGCGUGCAGCCGGAGAGACAAGUCAGAUGUGAAAUCCACGGGCUCAACCCGUGAACUGCAUUUGAAACUGUUUCCCUUGAGUGUCGGAGAGGUAAUCGGAAUUCCUUGUGUAGCGGUAAAAUGCGUAGAUAUAAGGAAGAACACCAGUGGCGAAGGCGGAUUACUGGACGAUAACUGACGGUGAGGCGCGAAAGCGUGGGGGGCAAACAGG
rnacentral:rRNA from 1 species